rnacentral:rRNA from 1 species
AAGCGUGGAGCAUGUGGUUUAAUUCGAAGCAACGCGAAGAACCUUACCAGGUCUUGACAUCCCGAUGCUAUUUCUAGAGAUAGAAAGUUACUUCGGUACAUCGGUGACAGGUGGUGCAUGGUUGUCGUCAGCUCGUGUCGUGAGAUGUUGGGUUAAGUCCCGCAACGAGCGCAACCCCUAUUGUUAGUUGCCAUCAUUCAGUUGGGCACUCUAGCGAGACUGCCGGUAAUAAACCGGAGGAAGGUGGGAUGACGUCAAAUCAUCAUGCCCCUUAUGACCUGGGCUACACACGUGCUACAAUGGUUGGUACAACGAGUUGCGAGUCGGUGACGGCGAGCUGAUCUCUUAAAGCCAAUCUCAGUUCGGAUUGUAGGCUGCAACUCGCCUACAUGAAGUCGGAAUCGCUAGUAAUCGCGGAUCAGCACGCCGCGGUGAAUACGUUCCCGGGCCUU